rnacentral:ncRNA from 1 species
UGCCGCUGGGGGCGCUGUUUUGCUGAGAAAGGAAAAUGGGAUGUCCGACACCCGUUUCCUUGACCCUUAUCACUUGACCCGGGUAAUACCGGCGUAAGGAAGCGUAU